rnacentral:rRNA from 1 species
AGAGUUUGAUCCUGGCUCAGGACGAACGCUGGCGGCGUGCUUUAGACAUGCAAGUCGAACGCGAAAGCCCUUCGGGGUGAGUAGAGUGGCGAACGGGUGAGUAACACGUGGGUAACCUGCCCCUUACUGGGGGAUAACCGGGGGAAACCCCGGCUAAUACCCCAUACGCUUGGCGGAUCGCAUGGUCCGGUAAGUAAAGGUAGCUUCGGCCAUCCGGUGAGGGAUGGGCCCGCGAUGCAUUAGCUAGUUGGUGGGGUAACGGCCUACCAAGGCUACGAUGCAUAGCUGGUCUGAGAGGAUGACCAGUCACACUGGGACUGAGACACGGCCCAGACUCCUACGGGAGGCAGCAGUCGGGAAUCUUGCGCAAUGGGCGAAAGCCUGACGCAGCAACGCCGCGUGAGCGACGAAGGCCUUCGGGUCGUAAAGCUCUGUUGUUGGGGACGAAGGGCCCAGGGUUAAUAGCCCUAGGGCCUGACGGUACCCUUCGAGGAAGCCCCGGCUAACUACGUGCCAGCAGCCGCGGUAAUACGUAGGGGGCGAGCGUUGUCCGGAAUUAUUGGGCGUAAAGAGCGUGUAGGCGGCCCGGUAAGUCCGCCGUGAAAGCUCGGGGCUCAACCCCGAGUUUGCAGUGGAUACUGUCGGGCUAGAGGAUGGUAGAGGGGAGUGGAAUUCCCGGUGUAGCGGUGAAAUGCGCAGAUAUCGGGAGGAACACCAGUAGCGAAGGCGGCUCCCUGGGCCAUUCCUGACGCUGAGACGCGAAAGCGUGGGGAGCAAACAGGAUUAGAUACCCCGGUAGUCC